rnacentral:rRNA from 1 species
GAUGAACGCUGACAGAAUGCUUAACACAUGCAAGUCUUUGGCGAAGCUGUGCUUGCACAGCCUAGCCAAGGCGGACGGGUGAGUAACGCGUAAGGAACUUGCCCUGCAGUCAGGGAUAACAGACGGAAACGACUGAUAAGACCUGGUAAAGUCAGGCGGACUCAUGUCCAGCCUGAUGAAAAGUGAUGCUGCAGGAGAGCCUUGCGUCCUAUUAGCUUGUUGGUGGGGUAACGGCCCACCAAGGCAAUGAUAGGUAGCCGGCCUGAGAGGGUGGACGGCCACAAGGGGACUGAGAUACGGCCCUUACUCCUACGGGAGGCAGCAGUGGGGAAUAUUGGACAAUGGGGGCAACCCUGAUCCAGCAAUUCUGUGUGCACGACGAAGGUUUUCGGAUUGUAAAGUGCUUUCAGCAGGGAAGAAAAAAAUGACGGUACCUGCAGAAGAAGCGACGGCUAAAUACGUGCCAGCAGCCGCGGUAAUACGUAUGUCGCAAGCGUUAUCCGGAAUUAUUGGGCAUAAAGGGCAUCUAGGCGGCCAGAUAAGUCUGGGGUGAAAACUUGCGGCUCAACCGCAAGCCUGCCCUGGAAACUAUGUGGCUAGAGUACUGGAGAGGUGGACGGAACUGCACGAGUAGAGGUGAAAUUCGUAGAUAUGUGCAGGAAUGCCGAUGAUGAAGAUAGUUCACUGGACGGUAACUGACGCUGAAGUGCGAAAGCUAGGGGAGCAAACAGG